rnacentral:ncRNA from 2 species
UUCUUAUCAAGAACGGCGUAGGGAACAGGCCCGUUGAUGCCGUAGCAGCCGGUUCGGAUUUAUCCGGAUGUCGGGUGCUAAAUCCUGCCCGGCAGUUGCCGGGAAAGAUGAGAU